GGGCCCGCACAAGCAGUGGAGUAUGUGGUUUAAUUCGAAGCAACGCGAAGAACCUUACCAAGGCUUGACAUCCUGCUAACGAAGCAGAAAUGCAUUAGGUGCCCUUUGGGAAAGCAGAGACAGGUGGUGCAUGGUUGUCGUCAGCUCGUGUCGUGAGAUGUUGGGUUAAGUCCCGCAACGAGCGCAACCCCUACGGUUAGUUGCUACGCAAGAGCACUCUAGCCGGACUGCCGUUGACAAAACGGAGGAAGGUGGGGACGACGUCAAAUCAUCAUGCCCUUUAUGUCUUGGGCUACACACGUACUACAAUGGCGGUCAUACAGAGUGAUGCAAUACAGUGAUGUGGAGCAAAUCGCUAAAAGCCGCCUCAGUUCAGAUCGCAGGCUGCAACUCGCCUGCGUGAAGUCGGAAUUGCUAGUAAUCGCGGAUCAGCAUGCCG
rnacentral:rRNA from 1 species